rnacentral:lncRNA from 1 species
AUCGUUGGAGACAAAGUAAGCUUUCAAGUUUGAUUAAUUUCAUGCAUCUAAUUUAGUUGCAUAGAACUCCUUGUUUGAAAUUGGUUGUGCAUAUUCAUCUCAAAUCAAUUUAAGGGCAACACCCAUAACAAGAUAAGAUGAAAAUUUUAUCACCCUUUCUUAGUCCAAAAAUAACCAACCAGCAUCCCUCAUUAACCCAAACCUAACUAAAAUCAAGUUGAUGUUGACCCCUA